GUUUGCUUCAUGAGCUACAGCGCAUGUGUCGAAACCUCGGGUAUCAGAGGACCAUCACUAUCUCUGGCUGCUGUUGACCUUGUUUUUGGAGUAAAACACGGUGGAAGCUGAAUUAGUGAGGAUGACUCCUGCUCCUGUCAUCUCUAAGCUCCUCACACAUCUUUACCUGCACAUGAGGAAAAUCACUCCUGUAGAAUGCAGAUGUUCAGAGGGAGAUGAUGCCACAUCUGGUCCAGCUGAUGGAAGGUCUUGAAGUUCUCUGACUGGCCUGGACUGAAGAUGGUCGUCUCACUGGAUUUAAGGUUCAGAUGCUCAGUAACAAACUCCACCAAUGAGCCAACAGGGAAGCUUUAGGUUUAUUAAAUGUUGCUAUGAAGGUAUUGCUGUUUUUCUUUGUGAAUGCAAUGUGCUCCAACUGAAACUUGAAUUAGAACUUAGAAGUAAAUCCUUCCAUCUGAAAGGAUUUAGUUGCAUUAAUAACCUCAUAACAUUCUAAUUUUUAUUCCAGUCUUGGUUGGAAAUAGAAUCUCUGUAUUGAUUCAGGUAAAAACUGAACUUCACAGCAUGUUGGAGCAAAACAACCAGAUGAAAACUGUGAUGGUGUUGGAUUGUCAGACCAUAAUGUUGCAGCUCAAAGCAACUUUUCUAUCUCAGUUCAUUCUGACAUUCAGCUAUGAAUCAACACAGCAGAUGGUGAUCCAUGCUGUGGAAGUCUCACAUCUCCUGAUUUAAUGGAGCUGCUUUGCACUUUUUACACUGUUUAUUCACCAACACUUUAUUUAAUCAAAGUCCCAUCUAGUUUUCAUGAGGAAUGUGAUGUUUUAAUUUCUCUGUGAAUAACUGCAGUCUAAUGGAACAGCUGGAGUUGUAACAUCUGUCCUGAUAUUGAUCAUGAAGUAUUGAUCAGAAUACUUAUGGUUAGCAGUCAUCCCUGAAGUUUUACAUUAAACUCUUUACUUGUGUUGUGAACUUUGGUAAGAAGCAGAAACGUUAGCGUUGCCAUGGAUACAUGAGUGUUAAAGUCUGUCCAUGUUUCCAUUUUGGGAAAUUCAGUCCAGCAGAUGAGUUUGUUUUUACUGCCAGCUACCAUUCAGUCUGAGAUAUUAAGAAUAAAUUAAUGUGCAUAAUGUGGAAAUGAACAGAUUUCAUUUUUAUUUAUUCCUACAACUGCAACAGGUAAAGUUCCAAAAUGUGUAGGAAUUUAGUCUCACAAUCACAGACAACAAAUAUUAUCUGAAAGUCGGGUUAUUGUUGUUUAUCAGCACAAUACAAAAAGAUUAAUGUUAGAAAUAUUUCAGUUCAGACUCUAGAAUAUCAUGAUUUAUGUAAAUUUACCUCAAUAAUAUGAAUGUUCAGGUUAAGAUUGUACAGUGAUAUUUAUUAUGUAAGUUUAGCUGAUUAAAGUUUAUGACUCUGCACUAAAAUAUUAUUUAUUUAAAUUGACAUCAUUAUUAUAAUAUUUAGGGUCAGACCCUACAGUAUUGAGAUUAAGAAGUCAAAUAUUCUAUAAAAUGUAAAUACACUGAACUCAUUUGGAUAUAUUUGAGUGAGACUCUACAAUAUUAUUUGACACAAAUCUAUAUAAAUCGAAAUUUUAAUCAUUUUUACUCCAAACAUUUACUGGAUUGAUUUGAAAAUUUAAAUCACUCCUUUCUAAUCCUCUGCUGUACGUUCAAACCUGAGGCCUUAAAUAGAAACACACAAGUAUCUGUUUGAAGGAGCUUCUGCAGAGUCCUGGUUCCAGAACAUGAUGAUAGAAUUAUAGACAAACUUUAACAAAAGCUGCCUGAGAGUUUACAGGUUUUUAUGUUGGAUUUCUUCAGUAAUUUAAUGAGAGUUAUCAGCAAUCAUCAAGUGUUCAUUUGAUGAACUUCAUCUCCUAAAACAUCCAGAAUUGGAGCUCAUAUCUUUGGCAGCUGUAAAGUUUCUGCUCCUUCAAAGUUCACAACACAAUGAAUGAAUUCCUAAAACACUCAAUGCUGGAGAGCGUUUGUGAUGCUGAAGCAGUGAUCAGUUUUUCUGUUUCUUCUCUGGAGAUGCACAAUGAGGGACGUCUGCAGCGACUGAGAAAGAGUCUCACCACAUCCUGACAUGAGGAAAAAGACUUUAUUGAAGACUACAAUGAGAAAAACUAUCAGACAGCAGACGGCUGCAUUCAAGGUGAGCUCUGAACAUUUGAUCUGGAACAGGAAUUCAAUAACAGCAGCAUGAGCUUCAUUUUAGUCUGUAGCUGCUGAAUUCAUGGAUGAAUCAUCUGGCACUAGAGAGAAAGACCAUCAAACAUCCACAUCAGCUGAUGGAGGUCCAAGAGUCUCACCGAACAACCAACCUACAGAGUGAAGACCUCUAACCUGAUUGGACGGCCUCCUAUUCAGCCACAUUUUAGGCUGUUAGAUUGUUCCAGAUAAGACAAGUACAAGAUUCUUCAGAGCUGUUCUACCACGAGCCUGACAGGAAGAACUCCAACAGCUACUGAAUGUUCCUGUGGUUCCCUCAAGGCUACGGGAGGAGUCCUACGAGGACGAGCCGGUCCACCUGAUGGAGGCCAGUCGCUGCGGUUCAAAGCCAACACUGACUACGUGGACUUCUACUGGACCACACGGAGGCCUUCAAACCGGACCAACAAGUUCACCGACUCCCCGACUUGUGGGUCUGAGGACGCCGCUGAGCCUCGGUCCAGCAGGCCUCCUGUCUGUGGGUGUUUGAGUGCUGAGAGGUUUGUGGAUGCAUGUGAACAUGUCUGUGUUGAAACAGCAGCUUUGGACUCAGUAACGCCGGGAAAAACCAAGAGCUCCUUUAUUUGUGACUUCCACUAAAAAACUGAUGAAAAUAAGUUUGUCAGGGUUCUGACUGAUAACAGAUUAUUAAAUAAUGAAAAUAAUCGUUUAAAUAUUCCUUUAAACAAUCCUUUUAGGUCUACAUUUCCUUUACACUGACUUCUUGGUAUAUGUACAAGUAUUUUGGGUGGAAUAUACCAUUAAGCCUAAUGUUCAAGGGUUCUUCUGGGAAUAUACCAUUAAACCAACCUUUUAGGUAAAUGUUCCAGGAUGUUGGGUAGAAUAUACCAUCAGAUAAACCUUUUAGGUCUACAUUGGAAGAUUUUAGAGGAGAAUAUUACUCCAAACCAUCCUUUAGGUCUACAUUUAAGGUAGAAUACUCCUUUACACCAAGAUUUUUUGGUCUACAUUGAAGGAUUUUAGGUGGAAUAUUCCUUUGAACUUUUUAAGUUUAUGUUCAAGGAUGUUGGGUGGAAUAUACCAUCAGACAAACCUCCAAGGUCUACAGUAGUCAAUUUUAGGUGGAAUAUAUCAUUAAACUCACCCUUUAGGUCUACAUUGGAGGAUUUUAGGUGGAAUUUUCUUCCAAACCGUCUUUCAGUCUACAUGUAAGGAUGUUUAUUCUUCCAAACCAACUUCUAGGGUCUACAUUUCAGGUGGAAUAUUCCUCCAUACUAACUUUUUUGGUCUACAUUGAAGGAUUUUUUCUAAACCACAGGACAGGAACUCUUACCUUCUGGACAACCAACGUUGGUUCACAAACAAGAAUACAGAAUGUGUCUGACCAAAAACCUCUAAAGACUCACUACAGCCAAGAUAAAGACACAACUCAGCUGCACCAAACCCAUUAAUCACUGCGCACAUCACUAAACCAUAUUUGAGGUUUUAGGUGGAAUAUUCCUUUUAACCAGCCCCUCAGGUCUCUUUGAGGAUUUUGAAUGGAAUACUCGGUUAAACCAACAUUUUAGGUGCAUGUCCAAGGAUUUUUGGUGGAAUGUUCCUUUAAGGUGAAUGUGUGAGGACCUUGUAGGUGGAAUACUUCCUGAAACCAACCUUUUAGGUCAACAUUCAAAGAUUUAAGGUGAAAUAUUUCUUUAAACCAACCUAAAUUUCAUGUUUUGAUCAUUAUCAAGUGAGAAACCUCAAUCCAGACUCCUCAUAAUGACGUCUGAGAUUUAUGCUGCUGUUAUUUGUUUAGUCCAGACUAAAUGACAGAAAUCCACAACUGUAAUUUUAUUUCAGGACUCAGUUAUGAAAUGCCAAAACAAUGUGACUCUAAAAACUCAACAGCUUUACAAACUCUAAGAUUAAACUCUCCACAAGGAUCCAAAAUAAGUUGGACUUCUACAUGAGAGCUUUAAUUAUUCUUCAUCUACUUCCUGAAAAGUUUGGUCAAUAAAAAAAGACAAAAACUAAUAUUUUCAGCUGAACUAAAGACAGACUGUGAUUUUUCUGCUCACAUGUUGUGUUGUUGUAAACUUACUCUUUCAAAUAAAUAGCUGCCUAACCCCCUGGAAACCAGCGUUUGUCCUGUUUUUGUGUUGCUCCUCGGCGACCCUAGACAGCCGGGUCCUAAUGUUUUUUGAGCAACACACCAUACUAUGACGUUUUUACAAUGAUGGUUCUACUAUGAAGCCAGUUUGACAUGUUCAGGCGUUCUUUGUGUGAAAACUCAGAGAUUUCAGGUAUCAGAAGGUGGUUUUCAACUUUCUUUGUUAACUUUCUGCUUCAAAUUUAAACUAAAUUUCCUUCACUAAGCCAGCCCUCUGGACUUCCAGGAAGCUGUGUUCCUAUUGGCUGUCCAGGUGGCUGCUUGGUGUUAUCAGGAACACCUGAGCAGCUCAGUGUCUUCCUGCUUUAUUUAGCUGCAGACAAACAUUUCCUCUGCUUCUGUUCACCACUGAACCGGGUUUGGCUCCAUUGCUUCAGUUUGUUAUUUAGGCGUUGGCUUGCAGCUUCCAGCAGUAAAAUCGUCUUUAAUGUGCUUCUUGGUGUGUUUUAGGGCUUUGUACUGGAUAGUUGUCUUGGUAAAUGUGGUUCUUUAGCCACAGUUAGCACAUGGUGCUAAUGUCUGCAGUGAUUAGUGGAUUUGGUGCAGCUGAGUUGUGUCUUUAUCUUGGCUGUAGUGAGUCUUCAGAGGUUUUUGGUCAGACACAUUCUGUAUUCUUGUUUGAGAACCAUCGUUGGUUGUCCAGAAGGUAAGAGUUCCUGUCCUGAUUCUCUGUUCUCAGAGGUUCUCUGGUAGGCUGCAGGAGACUUUAGUGUUUGGGUUGUGCUAGUUUGGUUUUUGUACGGUUUCAUUUGGACGACUAUCUUGAGGCACCUCCAUGUGGUUUAGUGAGGUUUUCUGUAACAGUUCUACAAA